rnacentral:rRNA from 1 species
AUGAGCAGGCUGUUCCAUAGACCCUUCUCUCAGAUUGCAUAUCAGCAAUUCCUAUCACUUCAGAAGAUUAUUCUCAACAGAUCAAUCAACCAAUCAUCUGAUCAAUGGUUCUAUCCAUGGACAUCACAUAAAUACUCAUCCAUGAAGAUGUACAAGCAGCUGAUUCAUAAGACCCAAGUCCACCAUAUCUUCAAAGAUAUUUGGUCCACCUCAUGCAGGCUCAGACACAUCAUUUUUUUCUGGCUCCUUCUACAGGACAGAAUCAACACCAGAAAUAUGCUUCAGAGGAGGAGUAUGCAUCUUCAGACAUAUAUAUGUGCUCUUUGUAGUGAUAACUCGGAGGAAACAUGCAUCCAUCUCUUUUGGAACUGUCCAUUUGCCAUUUACUGUUGGGAUCAAAUUCUACCUGAAAGAAGAAGAGGCAUUUCUGCAAUUGACGAGAUUACUUUGGCUAUGGAAUCUCUCCCUUCAGAUAUUGCGUUGGAGAUUAUCAUUGCAUGCUGCUGGGGUAUUUGGUCAUGCAGGAAUGACAAGAUCUUUCGCUCAGCUCCAUCACAUUUGGGGUGUUGGAAACACUAUGUCAAAGAAGGACUCUGGGCGGCACAAAUAAAAGCUAAACCGCAAAGGGCAGACACUAUCAAGAACUGGAUUGAACAGCACCUAUAA